rnacentral:misc_RNA from 1 species
GAUGAAGAACGCAGUGAAAUGCGAUAAGUAGUGUGAAUUGCAGAAUUCAGUGAAUCAUCGAAUCUUUGAACGCACAUUGCGCCCUUCGGUAUUCCGUUGGGCAUGCCUGUUCGAGCGUCAUUUAAACCUUCAAGCUAUGCUUGGUGUUGGGUGUUUGUUCCGCCUCUGCGCGUGGACUCGCCUCAAAUUCAUUGGCAGCCGGUAUGUUGGCUUCGUGCGCAGCACAUUGCAAGCGAUUUCAACUGACCUCCUUCCAUAAGCCCUUUUUUUACUUUGACCUCGGAUCAGGUAGGGAUACCCGCUGAACUUAAGCAUAUCAAUAAGCGGAGGA